UCAGAUUUUACAUUUCUGUAGUGCUUCUUCACUCUCAUACGCAAACGAUCGUCUUCUUUUGAUAUUUUGUACAUUUUUGUUUUUUGUAUAUAUAGACUUGCCUCAAUCAACCUCUUUAAUUCUCUUUUCACGUAUCGACAUUCAUUUAAUAUGCUUGUUCAUACAUCAUAGACGUGUCCAAUCUAUAAAUACUUGGUAGGAAAUAUGAAUCAUCACUAUAAUGUAUCAAUU
rnacentral:lncRNA from 1 species